CAGUCUCUUCAGAAGGUUUUGCACCUCUCUGUUUCACUGAGACGAAGGUGUGAGUUCAGAGCAGCCACCUCGUGCCAGGCAAUGCGUUGAGGAGACUGUUGAAACUUUCUCAGAUGGCAGGUCUCAGUCAUCAAACUCACAAUUCUGAUCUGGGUUGCUGAACUGUCAAGGAAACAAGACAGAUUGACCAGACAAUUGGGCUCUACACACCACUGUGGCACUGAAAAGCCUGCAAAUGUCAGAGUCCUCAGGCUUCAUGGCAUCCUGGCACUGCCUUAUAGCCCUCAACACAAUACUGCAUCUCUGGAUAAUUUUGAUUUUUUGUUGAUCCAUAUUUCUAUCCUGUUAAAUGAAAACUGUCUCCUUCCUAUUCACGUGGGAUACAACAGUGUUGACAUAAUUACUCUGUAUACACUGCACUGGAAUGCGCAGAUGAGAUUUUGGGAUUUAAGUACCUUAGAAUAUUUGUUCAACAGUGCAAACAUUAACAGCCUGUAUGAAGUUCUGCCUUGGGAUCAAUCGCAGAAUGUCAUAGCUGAUGCAGAAACACAGGGCUGUAAUGGCAUGUUGUAAAAAAGACAAAAUCCUACCCAUCAGCUGGUUUUCAUAUUUAGAAAAUACUGAUCCUAAAUCCUUUUAAUUACAAUUAAAGGACCUUUUUUUUUUUUUUUUUUCCUGUGAAAAUACACUCCAGAUUGAAUUUAUGACUCGGUAAAAUCCAAAUUAAAUCCCUAAACCCAGAAUUGUUAAGUUUUGGAUCAAUAAAUGUUUGAAGUCUUUAAGGUAUGUGCAGUUCUUGCCUCCAAAAAUCUGAGAAAUGUUAUAUAACUUAGAGAGUUAGAGGUGUGUUUAGGAUUAGCUGGUGAAAACUUUUUUGUAAAAUAAAGAUACGAAUGUAGGCUGAUACAGAAUAAAUCCACUGUACAUGCAUUGAAACCAACCUGAAAAAGAUCCAGUGUUGUUUAUUUAUUUCCACUGCUGCAGACUGUUCAGUAUGCACUGCUGUACCCUUCAGUGUGAUAACCAAACCCCUCCCAACAGCACUGCAAGCAAUCUGGCUAACAUAUGCCAAGUAAGACUGGAGUUUCUCAGCCAGGAACCUCAUUGUGAAAGACAGGCAUCAUACAUGGACAUAAAUGAAGCAGCAUACUUCUGCUAAAAAUCUUGCAAUAAGGAAUAAUUGAAAAAUUCAGUUAAAUUCCCUGUAGUAACCACAGUGUUACACUUUGCUGCAAUAUCUGAGCAGUUUUUCUGAAAUUGGUCGCUCCUUCCUAGCUCUGUGCUUUCCCUUCUCUGACGCUAGCACAGAUUGGCCAUGGUGAUCUGCUUUACAGAAGGGUUUUCGGUUAAAACUAGCUUCUUUUUCCUUUUUGACAGUUCCAACCCUGGUAGUUUCUUAUCUGGCUCAAAAUCACAAGCUGUAGGGGAGAGGGGAAAGGAAGUGGUGGUACAGAGGCAAAUUGCAGACAGUUCAAGAAAGGCUAGAGCACCUCUUCGUGCAGCAGCAUUUGCUUAUGGAAAUAUAAGGACAGGUACUUGUGUUGGAUCUUUGUGGGCAAGGGAGAGAGAUGGGCACAUCCAGAAAGUGGUUUUUAGAUUCCUUAACAAAAGGUAUCUACUAACGAUGGCCGUUUUUGAAGGUGCCUAACCAUCUCCACUGACUAAAGAAAAUUCACAGGGAACUGAUUUAGAAUAUACCGUUAAUUUAUCGACUUCUGAAGUAGGUGAUAUAAACUUCCUACAGGGAGGUGUUAAUGUUCACAGGGGUACUUUGAUUCCUCUGUACUGUAUGGUCACAAAAUUCAUCUGUGAACAUUUGGGUAGGGGUUAAGGACAUGUUUCUUUUCCUGCCAUUUGUGUCAC